UCCUAGUUAGCUCAGUUGGUAAAGCGCUCCACUGGAAAUGGAGAGGUCCCUGGUUCAAUACCAGAACUAGGGG
rnacentral:tRNA from 1 species